CCUACGGGAGGCAGCAGUGGGGAAUAUUGCACAAUGGGCGCAAGCCUGAUGCAGCGACGCCGCGUGAGGGAUGACGGCCUUCGGGUUGUAAACCUCUUUCGGCAGGGACGAAGCGCAAGUGACGGUACCUGCAGAAGAAGCACCGGCCAACUACGUGCCAGCAGCCGCGGUAAUACGUAGGGUGCGAGCGUUGUCCGGAAUUACUGGGCGUAAAGAGCUCGUAGGCGGUUUGUCGCGUCGUCUGUGGAAUUCUGCAACUCAAUUGCAGGCGUGCAGGCGAUACGGGCAGACUUGAGUACUACAGGGGAGACUGGAAUUCCUGGUGUAGCGGUGAAAUGCGCAGAUAUCAGGAGGAACACCGGUGGCGAAGGCGGGUCUCUGGGUAGUAACUGACGCUGAGGAGCGAAAGCGUGGGGAGCGAACAGGAUUAGAUACCCUGGUAGUCCACGCCGUAAACGGUGGGUACUAGGUGUGGGGCUCAUUUCACGAGUUCCGUGCCGUAGCUAACGCAUUAAGUACCCCGCCUGGGGAGUACGGCCGCAAGGCUAAAACUCAAAGGAAUUGACGGGG
rnacentral:rRNA from 1 species